CACGCAAAAUGAUAUUCAUUUUAAUUUUUAGUUUGCUUUUAAGUAGAUAUUUGGUUAUAUAGUUAUAAUGUUCAGAUGUAUUUAACAUUAGUUUUCAUUUUGCAUAAAUGGAAAAUUUUCUUUGUUGAAGCUCCCACGAAUCAGAUUUAAAAGUUGCUAGCUGUGAUCCACUAACUCUUGGUGGCAAAGGAAGCAACUACGUCAGAUUAGUUUUGGUAGUCACCAGUUGAUGGCAGGGCUAUGCUGUUCGUCCCAAAGAUACAACGCUCUCCUCUAUUAAUUAUUUUAAAAAAAAUUAUUGCUAUUUAUUAAUUUCAGUUUUAUUUAUUUCCAGGACGUCGUCAGCCAUCAACAGACUCGGCACAAUGGUUAACUACAACUGAAAAGGAGACAUUCAAUCAAACAAAUGCAGUUGAAAAUCUUUCUUUACUAUUAAGAGAUUAAAAUAUAUUUUAUGCUAAGUUUA